GCCUUUGCACAGUGUCAGUAUCAUAGCAAGUGAGUUUCAUAUGAGGCACAAUUAUUGCUAAUAGAAAACUUUUCCCAAUACCCCGCCAUAACGACUUGGAUUAUAAUCAGAAUUGGCAAUUUUUGACGGUCUCCAUGGAGA
ensembl:snRNA U4 U4 spliceosomal RNA